GACGAACGCUGGCGGCGUGCUUAACACAUGCAAGUCGAACGGAAAGGCCCUGCUUUUGUGGGGUGCUCGAUUGGCGAACGGGUGAGUAACACGUGAGUAACCUGCCCUUGACUUUGGGAUAACUUCAGGAAACUGGGGCUAAUACCGGAUAGGAUCUUCUGCUGCAUGGUGGGGGUUGGAAAGUUUCGGCGGUUGGGGAUGGACUCGCGGCUUAUCAGCUUGUUGGUGGGGUAGUGGCUUACCAAGGCUUUGACGGGUAGCCGGCCUGAGAGGGUGACCGGCCACAUUGGGACUGAGAUACGGCCCAGACUCCUACGGGAGGCAGCAGUGGGGAAUAUUGCACAAUGGGCGGAAGCCUGAUGCAGCAACGCCGCGUGCGGGAUGACGGCCUUCGGGUUGUAAACCGCUUUCGCCUGUGACGAAGCGUGAGUGACGGUAAUGGGUAAAGAAGCACCGGCUAACUACGUG
rnacentral:rRNA from 1 species